CUCACCCAAUUACCUUUCCUAGUAUAUCUUCAUCUUGUUAAAGUGUAUGAGAACUGCUUUGGAGAUUCUAAUAAGUCCAAAUGAGCAUUAAAAAGGAGAGAGAGUAGGAGAAGUAUCUCUUGAGAAAGGGACCUGACACAAAGACACUCCGCAGAGCCUGAGCCAAGAAAAUAUUUGGGAGUCAGCACACUUAAAACUGUACAUCUCUCAAGAGACACUUCGAACUAAUAUCCCUGAAAAUCCAUCAGCAGCCUUCCACUCUAUCACCUCUAAAUCUGAGGUCUCUGUUCCCUUUUUUUAAUGCACUAUCCAACUGCUAACAAUUUUACUCGAUCUAUUAGCUCUACCAACACCUCUAUUAAAAAGCAUCAAGUACCUUCA